GUCCCUUUGGCCGAGGAGCGAGGCAGCCGACUGCAAAUCGGUAAACGUGGGUGCGAAUCCUACAGGGGACU
rnacentral:tRNA from 1 species